rnacentral:tRNA from 1 species
GUUGUAGCUCAGUGAUAGAGUGUUUGCUCUAUCACUCUAUCACUCAAUUCUCAGCACCACAGAUAAAUAAAUAAAGAUCCAUCAACAACUAAAAAAAAAAAUUAAAAAAAGAAAUCCCAGGACUGGAGAUAUAGCUCAGUUGAUAGAAUACAAGGCCCUGGGUUCAAUACCCAGCACUUACA